GACGAACGCUGGCGGCGUGCUUAACACAUGCAAGUCGAGCGGUAAGGCCUUUCGGGGUACACGAGCGGCGAACGGGUGAGUAACACGUGGGUGAUCUGCCCUGCACUUCGGGAUAAGCCUGGGAAACUGGGUCUAAUACCGGAUAUGACCUCCUAUUGCAUGGUGGGGGGUGGAAAGAUUUAUCGGUGCAGGAUGGGCCCGCGGCCUAUCAGCUUGUUGGUGGGGUAAUGGCCUACCAAGGCGACGACGGGUAGCCGACCUGAGAGGGUGACCGGCCACACUGGGACUGAGACACGGCCCAGACUCCUACGGGAGGCAGCAGUGGGGAAUAUUGCACAAUGGGCGAAAGCCUGAUGCAGCGACGCCGCGUGAGGGAUGACGGCCUUCGGGUGGUAAACCUCUUUCAGCAGGGACGAAGCGCAAGUGACGGUACCUGCAGAAGAAGCACCGCAA
rnacentral:rRNA from 1 species